CUUAUCCAUUAUAGGGCUAGAAUAAGGACCUUAUAUAUAUGUUGUUAUAGCGUUUGUGAAAGGCCUACUUCCUCUAAGAAAAGUGCUACAAAAUAAGUUGAAAAGAAAGAACUCUCGAGAUAUCAAAUGAAGACAUUUUUCUUGAGAGAUUAUUGUGUCAAGGUGGCUGAAUUUAUUCUGUGAAAUGCACCAGUAAAUGUUUAUAAUCUGAAGAUGAAGAAGAGGGCUGGAUGUAGCUGUUUUUCUAGUUCAAAUGGAGGUUAAGGAGGGCCAAAACUACUGUGGUUGCUUUAGGAGCUGAAAUAAGGUUGUGGGAAAGCAUCAAGUGAAGCUGCAGUGUGUAUCGACAGUUUUACCCUUUUUGUUGCAAUGAAGUGGAAGCUAGGGUUUCUUGUGAUGUAUGGUACUUAAGGCUGUGUAUUUAUUCUUAUCUUGUGUUGCAGCUUAAGUAUAUUGUAAUUGGUGUGUUUACACCUUCUUUCAUUGUUGAUUAGCUAUUAAGAGCUUUAGUGUCCAAGCAAAGGGGCUGUGGACUGGGGGAGUGCCUGUGUGUACAUUGUUUGAUCUUGUAUGUGUGUAAUGGCUGUGAAAGCCAUUGUCCUAGUGAGUACAAGGUGGUUAGAAAGUGGGGCAGCUGAGUGAGUAACUACUUGCAUGCAGCAAGUGAAGAUGGUGAGCUAGGGUGUAUGGAUUGGUUGUGAAAGCUAAUAUCUAUUCUUGUAUAAGGGUGUGUGUGUAGUGAGUGAGAUAGCUGAGUGUGUAACAAGGUUCAUACUACUAGUGGAGGCUUUUAUUGGCUAAGGCUAAGAA